UGAGGGUCAAGGCGCAGUCGCCUGUGGAGGAGCCUGCGUCCGAUUAGCUUGUUGGUGGGGUAACGGCCUACCAAGGCGAUGAUCGGUAGCCUGGUCUGAGAGGAUGAUCAGCCACACUGGGACUGAGACACGGCCCAGACUCCUACGGGAGGCAGCAGUGGGGAAUAUUGGACAAUGGGCGCAAGCCUGAUCCAGCAAUGCCGCGUGGAUGAAGAAGGUCUUCGGAUUGUAAAGUCCUUUCGGCGGGGACGAUGAUGACGGUACCCGCAGAAGAAGCCCCGGCUAACUUCGUGCCAGCAGCCGCGGUAAUACGAAGGGGGCUAGCGUGCUCGGAAUGACUGGGCGUAAAGGGCGCGUAGCGGUUUGGUUAGUUAGGCGUGAAAUUCCUGGGCUA
rnacentral:rRNA from 1 species